CACAUACGUGCGCAUUGCCAAACCGGGCUGUAAAUUCUCGCCUUACCCGCUCGGAAUACGACGAGCAGAUUUUAAAUUUCGAAAGACGGUACAAGACUUGGGCAUAAAGCGAUGUGAUUUAAAAGUUCGCAUAGGAAGUACGGCGAUUCGUCAAACUUCUUUAGUACUAGAGGAAACUUAACUAAUUCCCGUGUCCGUUUAAAAUUGAUGUCCGUUUUGCUGAGACUCGUGUCAGUUGACGCGAAUGAUAAAUAAUUAAAGAUCCUGCAAAUAUUGUUGAAACUUAAGUCGAUGGCUCUCCAUACGAAUUAUCAUUUUAUUGAUAUGAAACAGAAUUAAAUUUGGCAAAACAGAGAGAAACAGUCAACAAUUCUGCAACUCCUUGAACAAUAAUGAUGAUUCGCUUUAAGACAAUACCUUCAGUCUAUCGCUUUACGCUGGAUCUCUUUAUACCGAAUGGUUUACCUCGUAGCCGUUUAAGCGGAAAUUCCGGUGGUACUUACAUCUGCGUUUAGAUACCGGAAUGCUUUUGACGUAUGUAAUAAAACAGAGCCGUAAUAAAUUCAUGCGAGAUCAGA